rnacentral:rRNA from 1 species
UGGGGAAUUUUGGACAAUGGGGGCAACCCUGAUCCAGCCAUGCCGCGUGCGGGAAGAAGGCCUUCGGGUUGUAAACCGCUUUUGGUCGGGAAGAAAAGGCACAGGCUAAUACCUUGUGUUCUUGACGGUACCGGCAGAAUAAGCACCGGCUAACUACGUGCCAGCAGCCGCGGUAAUACGUAGGGUGCGAGCGUUAAUCGGAAUUACUGGGCGUAAAGCGUGCGCAGGCGGUUCGUUAUGUCCGAUGUGAAAGCCCCGAGCUUAACUUGGGAAUGGCAUUGGAAACUGGCGGGCUGGAGUGCGGCAGAGGGGGGUGGAAUUCCACGUGUAGCAGUGAAAUGCGUAGAGAUGUGGAGGAACACCGAUGGCGAAGGCAGCCCCCUGGGCCGACACUGACGCUCAGGCACGAAAGCGUGGGGAGCAAACAGGAUUAGAUACCCUGGUAGUCCACGCCCUAAACGAUGUCAACUGGGUGUUGGGGAAGCGAUUCCUUGGCACCGUAGCUAACGCGUGAAGUUGACCGCCUGGGGAGUACGGCCGCAAGGUUAA